UACGAAGGGGGCUAGCGUUGUUCGGAUUUACUGGGCGUAAAGCGCACGUAGGCGGAUCGUUAAGUCGGGGGUGAAAUCCUGGAGCUCAACUCCAGAACUGCCUUCGAUACUGGCGAUCUUGAGUCCGGAAGAGGUUAGUGGAACUGCGAGUGUAGAGGUGAAAUUCGUAGAUAUUCGCAAGAACACCAGUGGCGAAGGCGGCUAACUGGUCCGGUACUGACGCUGAGGUGCGAAAGCGUGGGGAGCAAACAGG
rnacentral:rRNA from 1 species